rnacentral:rRNA from 1 species
ACGGGUGAGGAUACUAUGGGUGAUCUACCCCGAGGUGAGGAAUACCGUCGAGAAAUCGGCGACAAUACCGCAUAGGCUUCCAUUGCAGAAAUGGAUGCAAAGUCUUCGGACGCCUCGGGACGAGCCUGUACCCGAUUAGUUGGUUGGUGGGGUAAUGGCCUACCAAGACUGCGAUCGGUAGCUGGUCUGAGAGGACGAUCAGCCACACUGGGAUUGAGAACGGCCCAGACUCCUACGGGGGGCAGCAGUGAGGAAUAUUCGUCAAUGGGGGAAACCCUGAACGAGCAACGCCGCGUGCAGGACGACGGCCUUCGGGUUGUAAACUGCUUUUUUCGAGGAAGAGUACGGACGGUACUCGAAGAAUCAGCCCCGGCUAACUACGUGCCAGCAGCCGCGGUAAUACGUAGGGGGCGAGCGUUAUCCGGAGUUACUGGGCGUAAAGCGUCCGCAGGCGGUCCGGUCAGUUUGAAGUGACAGUGCUCGGCUUAACUGAGUAAGUGCUUUGAAUACUACCAGACUUGAGGGUCCGAGAGGAAGAUGGAAUUCCAGGUGGAGCGGUGAAAUGCGUAGA